CAGCGCGGGGCAACCUGGCGGCGAGCGGCGGACGGGUGAGUAACGCGUAGGAAUCUACUCAGUAGCGGGGGAUAGCCCGGGGAAACUCGGAUUAAUACCGCAUACGCCCUAAGGGGGAAAGCAGGGGAUCGUAAGACCUUGCACUAUUGGAAGAGCCUGCGUUGGAUUAGCUAGUUGGUAGGGUAAAGGCCUACCAAGGCGACGAUCCAUAACUGGUCUGAGAGGAUGAUCAGUCACACCGGAACUGAGACACGGUCCGGACUCCUACGGGAGGCAGCAGUGGGGAAUAUUGGACAAUGGGGGCAACCCUGAUCCAGCCAUGCCGCGUGUGUGAAGAAGGCCUUCGGGUUGUAAAGCACUUUAAGUGGGGAGAAAGGUUCGCUGGCUAAUACCCAGCGGAAUUGAUGCUACCCACAGAAUAAGCACCGGCUAACUCUGUGCCAGCAGCCGCGGUAAUACAGAGGGUGCAAGCGUUAAUCGGAAUUACUGGGCGUAAAGCGCGCGUAGGCGGCUGCCUAAGUCGGGUGUGAAAGCCCCGGGCUCAACCUGGGAACUGCACUCGAUACUGGGCGGCUAGAGUAUGAGAGAGGGAGGUAGAAUUCCACGUGUAGCGGUGAAAUGCGUAGAUAUGUGGAGGAAUACCGGUGGCGAAGGCGGCCUCCUGGUUCAAUACUGACGCUGAGGUGCGAAAGCGUGGGGAGCAAACAGGAUUAGAUACCCUGGUAGUCCACGCUGUAAACGAUGUCGACUAGCCGUUGGGGACCUUCGUGUCCUUGGUGGCGUAGCUAACGCGCUAAGUCGACCGCCUGGGGGAGUACGGUCGCAAGAUUAAAACUCAAAUGAAUUGACGGGGGCCCGCACAAGCGGUGGAGCAUGUGGUUUAAUUCGACCCACCCGAAAACCUUA
rnacentral:rRNA from 1 species